GACGAACGCUGGCGGCGUGCUUAACACAUGCAAGUCGAACGGAAAGGCCCUGCUUUUGUGGGGUGCUCGAGUGGCGAACGGGUGAGUAACACGUGAGUAACCUGCCCUUGACUUUGGGAUAACUUCAGGAAACUGGGGCUAAUACCGGAUAGGAGCUCCUGCUGCAUGGUGGGGGUUGGAAAGUUUCGGCGGUUGGGGAUGGACUCGCGGCUUAUCAGCUUGUUGGUGGGGUAGUGGCUUACCAAGACUUUGACGGGUAGCCGGCCUGAGAGGGUGACCGGCCACAUUGGGACUGAGAUACGGCGCAGACUCCUACGGGAGGCAGCAGUGGGGAAUAUUGCACAAUGGGCGGAAGCCUGAUGCAGCAACGCCGCGUGCGGGAUGACGGCCUUCGGGUUGUAAACCGCUUUCGCCUGUGACGAAGCGUGAGUGACGGUAAUGGGUAAAGAAGCACCGGCUAACUACGUG
rnacentral:rRNA from 1 species